rnacentral:lncRNA from 1 species
AAUAGUUCUGUGGAGCGGCAACUGUGGGUCCAUCUUACAGAUAAAGUCUGGAAAUCCACCCUGUCUGAGACCCACCAGAGAAACCUGGAAUGUGUUCUCUGGUCCAAGAGUCUGCAGAGUCUGCAUGAGUCAGGGGCAGCCCAGCCCGCCCACUCGCUCUAGAAUCCUCAUUUACAUUAUCCAUUCUGGAACAUAGAACUGACCACUCAGCCUCAGGCUCCUGCUGGAGCUUUCUAAGACCAGCGGCUAGCAGGGCAGUGGUCCUGAACCGGUGCUCCGAGAGUCAGACUUGAACUGAAGGGCUCUGGUGUCCGAUGGCAAAUGACACGGCCCAGUCAUCCUGGUACAGAGUCUAACACACAGAAGCCGCCGAGGUACCCAUCAAGAGCCAGUCUCCUGGAGCCUCUCCGCCUAAGACAGUCCAUCAGAUACUGUGGGAUCUGCCUACAUUUGUCACAGUACCAAGAGGCAAAGCCUGUGGGAUGAGAUAAGCUCAUGAGAACUGUAUCUAUCAUCUUGAAAGGGAUUGGCGGCUUUAUAAAGGAAGCUCUGCCCAGUCUGGGCAACCGUGAGUCCAGGGCAAGCCUGGUCUGAACAUAGAGACUGGAUAAAGAAAUUAAAGAAGCACGACAGGAGUUGUACUGUCCUAUGUCCCAUGCAUGGACACAGCUGGAAGUUAGUCAUGUUCCACCUAAGAGGAACGGCCCUCCGCCUACGCUGGUGACACCAGAAGAGCAGGCAUCUCCCAUCAUGCGCUAGCUUGGAGAACUCCAUCUGUAAAUGGCGUGGACAGGAGGACAGCCCCCAAGGCAGCCCCUCCCUGGACAAAGGCUGUGAGUCCCAGGGGAGGUGCAGGCCCUCUGGGGAGGACUUCUGUCUCCUGGGAUGUUGGGCUGCACCCCACCCCCAGGAAUGUGGAUCUGGUGUGGUGACUACAGCCUGGGGUAUCCUACAGUGUAGUAGGAUUCUCUCUUUUUUCUGUAUUUAACAGUAUAGGGGGGAUUGGAUGUCCCCUUUACAUCACAGGAUCUCAUUACAGUGGCCCAAGCUGGUCAUGCACUCAACCUGUAGUCCCGAGUGACCUUACAUUUGCAAUCCUCCUACCCCAGCCUCUCACAUAGCUGGGAUGACAGGCCUAGCUGUAGUUAGGCCUUUGUAACCUACCGCAGGCCUCAUAUAGCACCUGGGGCUUGAUAUCCCUGUAUGCAAAGGUGUCUAAUAACCAGCACAGGCUUGAGGUCAAACGUCCGUGGCCUUGACGUGAGAGACCAAGAAAGGCAGAACUAAGAGGUAGCUAAGAGUUAAAGACAGAAGGUGGGUAGCAACUUAGAUAUUUCCCUAGGUUGAAAGAAAAGUCAGACCAAAGGGCUGAAGACAUGGCUGGCUUGGUGAGUAGAGUCCUUACCCAGCAUGCCCCGUGUUCCACCUUUACCUGAGACAGGAUCUAACAGUGCCUGCAUGCAAUCCCAGCACCCAGGAGACAGAGGCAGGAGACAGGGGGGUCAAAGCCAUCCUAGAAUACUUGGUGAGUUUGAGGCCAACCUGGACCACAUAAGAUCCUGCCUACAACAACAACAACAACAACAACAACACCACAAGCUGGCCACCAGCCAAGACCAACCCAACCCUGAGAGAAAGAAAAGCCACAGACCAACUCCAUUCUCCACCAGCGCGGAGUGGGUCCCGUCGCAGUCACUGGCCUCCUGCUCUCCAAGCUGGUCGUUCAACUCCAGAUCCGGCUGAUGGGACCCGUUUCCAAAGUGUGACUCGUCCUUCUCAGAGCCGGCAUCUCCGUUCUCCAGGCCGUUCUGAGCCUUCUUCAGGGGCAUGAUCUGUAAGCCACUGGGGGUAGUCCUAUAGGACACAGUCUUGGUGGCCCUGUCUGGAGCCUUACCCGAAGACCCCUUCUUGGGCCUGGACAGGGGAGAGUUGACGCGCUUCCGCUUGUGGGAAGAUGGUUUGCUCUUCCCGGGUUCCAGAGGCCGAUGGGAGAGUCUUUCCACUGGCAGGCCGCGGGCGUCGCGGAGGAGCUUGGAGGCUCCGGCCUGCUUCCCUGACUUCACCCUCUUAUCCUUGGACAAGUGGAGCCCGUUGAACUCGUCGAUAAACUCCUCACAGUGCAGGAGGUGAUGCUCCGGUUCCCACGUGUCCUCCGUGCUGCCGUAGCCUUUCCAUCGGAUAAGAUAUUCCCAUUUCCCCUUCUUGUUCUUCCUCUUGUCCACAAUCCUUUCAACCUGGGGAUGCAAGACGAAGAGGGUGAGAAGACGUGGGACCCAAGGAUCAUUUUCCAAAGGGGCCCCAAGCUGUCUGAGGUCCGGCUACAGAUGGGCAGACAGACCUCAGAGUCCCCGCUAAACAUCUGCCAGUCUGGCUGCCAACAUCCAACCUAGAAAUUCAGAGUGGAAACGAAUUCAUUAACAGUCAAGCUUGCUUAUAGCCUGCAGAUGUGCUGUGUACUUGAAGGGCUUUCAGACAGACAAGAAUGUGACACAUAGAGGGGAAGCCAUCUGCGAUUUCUGCUGAGCAAUAGACAAGUAUAAAGUGACAGGUGACAUGUAAGAUUGUGCCUAACUGGUUACUCGGUGUUCAAGGAAAGCCUUGUGCUCAGGUAUACAAAACCUCCCCCAGUACUCCUGCAGAACCCACACGGCACUUUAUCUGGGUUGCUGACCGACUUCAUGAGGUCAUAAAAAUAAAUAAAUGGGCCAGCCUUCGCUACCCUGAGGCGCUGGUGCUUGUC